rnacentral:lncRNA from 1 species
CAGAGGCAAGAAUUAGAUGAAAACAUUUCCAAAGUUUCUAAGGAAAGGCAGGAACUUGCUUCUAAAAUUAAAGAGGUUCAAGGACGCCCACAGAAAACACAGAGUAUCAUCAUCUUAGAGUCCCAUAUCAUCUGCUGCACGUUGAGCACAAGUGGUGGUUUACUACUUGAGUCUGCUUUCCGUGGGCAAGGGGGUGUCCCCUUCAGCUGUGUCAUUGUUGAUGAGGUCAGUGAACGGUCAGCCAUACAACUUUGACUACUACUAUGAGGAGUAAGUCUUAGAUGAAUUGUGGCUGCUGAAAUGUUGAGGAAAUGUGUUUUUUUUUUUUGCAUCUGAUUUUCACUUGCUAUUACCUGUGUAUUCCCUUAUGUAGAAAUAUACUCCUUAAUGACCCUCCAUAGUGAAAGUGGAUUUUCCAGUAUUGGGGGUUAGUCUUGAGGAUGACUGAUGGUUUCUAACAAAAUCUCUGCUGAGUGACUGUCUCACUCCUGCUUAGAAUAUCUCUGGUAACCUUUUGAAGUAGUUUUAAUAUAAUUUUGGAUAGCUUUGAGCCACAGUAUGUUCACCUGAUGUCUUUUAUUCCUAGUUCACUCUUUGAGCAAACAUUUAUUGGGUACGUACUGUUUGUCAGAACGUAGAGUCAGAAGACAAAAGAGAUGGAGCAGGAGAUACCAGAGAAUUGAGUGAUCAGGAGACCCAAGAUCCAGUUUUCACCAGAA